UGAUGAUGAUGAUGAUGAUGAUGGUGAUGAUGAUGGUGAUGAGGCUUGCUAUGUUUAUAACAAAAUUCAUCAUCAUCAUCAUCAUCAUCAUCAUCAUCAUCC
rnacentral:pre_miRNA from 1 species